GCAGUUGUAGAAGAGUGGUUAAGGCGAUGGACUCAAAAUCCAUUGGAUUUCACACGCUUAGGUUGGACUCAUGUCGGCUUCG